GUGAGUUUCUCCGCUGGCUUGCGUUUUACCGGUAAUAAGCAAACACACACGGUAUGAUAACCGUGCAUUUUAAUACCACGGUAUACCGUGAAACCGGUUACCGCUGCAACCCUAGUAGCAUCACUAUCUAGUAGAAUUGCUCUGGUAAAAUUGAAAGCAGUUAAUUUUAUGUGAACCAUCACUGUGGCUAGCUGGUUACCCGAGCUCAUUAAAUUAUUCACCUAAACAGGACUAAAAGCUUGUUUAAUUCUUGAAAGGGUUGUAAAUGGGCUUAGUCACACAUCAUCUAUUUAGACACCAGAUAGAUAACAGUUUACAACACUAAAUCAAUGCAUCUUGUGACAACAUUUAAGACUAAUAUUAAAAUAAAGGGAAAAAAAUAUGCAAAAUAAUAGAUGAGCUGUGUAUGAUACCAAAGAUGUUAACUAUCAUUUUGUGUGUACAUAUAGAUGUAUAUGCUUAGGUCUACACUUGCCUUUCACUGAAAUGUAAAUGUAUUGCUUGGAAUGUUUACUGUAUGAUUAUUAUUGUGUGUUUAAAGGUUUCUCUGAGCGCUGAAUAAAACUUAUAGAUGUCAUACAUCA